rnacentral:lncRNA from 1 species
AUGUGGAUUACCUGGGCUAACCAAACAGGCCAAGAUUCUUUUUGCUUAUCCUUAGCAACGCCUUCUGACCCUUUCCGCACUUGCCUUAUUGGGGUUCCAUUAGCAGAAACUGGUAGCCUUAAAAAAUACACCCUCAGCUACUCAGAGCAGGAAAUUGCACUCUCAACCUUUUGUAAUGCAAGCUAUUCUACCCUCACUGAUAACUAUCUCGAUACUCACCUCUCUACUUUUAACAUCUGCAAUGACCUUAAAAUAAAGAAAAACCCUCUAGCUGCCCAAGCACGAGCAAUUGCCUUAGGCCUUAAUACAUCUAUGUUUGAGCCACAAGAGCUAGAUCUCUUAGGCUCUCAGCAUAGUCCCUAUUGUCUUAUGUUUAGAGGCAGUCACUUUGACAGCAGUGUCAGCCCCCAAAGGCCAAACAAAGACAGUACAUGGCUGAGCCCUACCACCUCAUGGUACUUUAACAUCACGGUGUACUGCAAUGGCUCAGUAUGGCCAGUUGAUAAUCCUCCACAAGAAUCCAGGGCUUUUCCCUCAGGAACUUUCCUCAUUUGUGGGGACAGGGCAUGGCCAGGAGUGCCUUCUAAACCAGUGAGAGGACCGUGCUAUUUUAGGAAACUAACAAUGUUUGCUCCUAGCAUUCAGCAACUGUUAAAUAUUACACACAAGCGAGCACGACGAAGCGCUCUUCCAUUAGAUCCUAAUUGCAGAGACGAUAUGCAGUUAUGGAAAAUUCCUGCUGUCUUUUUUGCUUCUCUUUUAGCCCCAGGAGCUGCAUCAGCACGUGCCCUCACUCAGCUUAGAAGGUUGGCAAGUUGGACAGGCAAGCAAGCAAAUGUCACCUCACACCUGAUAGGUGAGCUUGUUGCAGACGUGGAUAGCUUACGCCACACCUUACUGCAAAAUCGUGCAGCCAUUGAUUUCCUACUGUUAGCACAUGGACAUGGAUGCAAAGACAUAGAAGGAAUGUGCUGCUUUAACUUAGCAGAUCACAGUAAAUCCAUACAUUCUCAGCUUCAAUGGCUCACUGAACAUACCAAAAAGCUCACUGUUCAGGACAGUCCUUUCAAUAGAUGGUUUCAAGGGACCUUUGGAGGACUCGGAGUUUGGGCCAUAAGUCUCAUAAAAGAAGGUCUUAGAUGGGUCGGCAUCAUACUUUUGCUAUUGCUUGGAGCACGCAUUAUAUCUUCUUGUUUAGCCAAACGUGUAGAUCAACUAACUCAGGGAGUUUUGCUUGCUCAAACUAAUAUAAACGGGGGAAUUGUGAGAGAUUGGUUACGUGAAAAGGGACAUAUAGAUUCGGGAUAUACAGAUUCUUUGCAGCUUACUGAUCUGAGAAGCUGGCUACGUGAGAAUGGGCACAUAGACCCUUGCAGCUAG